rnacentral:lncRNA from 1 species
GAAACGCUGUGCUGUGGAGGGAACCGGAGGACCGGGGUUGGGAAACGCUGUGCUGUGGAGGGAACUGGAGAUCCGGGGUUGAGAAACGCUGUGCUGUGGAGGGAACCGGAGGACCGGGGUUGGGAAACACUGUGCUGCCGAGGGAACCGGAGGACCGGGGUUGGGAAACACUGUGCUGUGGAGGUACUGGAGGACCGGGGUUGGGAAACACUGUGCUGCCGAGGGAACUGGAGAUCCGGGGUUGAGAAACGCUGUGCUGUGGAGGGAACCGGAGGACCGGGGUUGGGAAACGCUGUGCUGUGGAGGGAACUGGAGGACCAGGGUUGGGAAACACUGUGCUGUGGAGGUACUGGAGGACUGGGCUUGGGAAACUCUGUGCUGCCGAGGGAACCGGAGGACCGGGGUUGGGAAACGCUGUGCUGCCGAGGGAACCGGAGGACCGGGGUUGGGAAACGCUGUGCUGCCGAGGGAACCGGAGGACCGGGGUUGGGAAACGCUGUGCUGCCGAGGGAACCGGAGGACCGGGGUUGGGAAACGCUGUGCUGCCGAGGGAACCGGAGGACCGGGGUUGGGAAACGCUGUGCUGCCGAGGGAACCGGAGGACCGGGGUUGGGAAACGCUGUGCUGCCGAGGGGACCGGAGGACCGGGGUUGGGAAACGCUGUGCUGCCGAGGGGACCGGAGGACCGGGGUUGGGAAACGCUGUGCUGCCGAGGGAACCGGAGGACCGGGGUUGGGAAACGCUGUGCUGUCGAGGGAACCGGAGGACCGGGGUUGGGAAACGCUGUGCUGUCGAGGGAACCUGGAGGACCGGGUUUGGGAAACGCUGUGCUGUCGAGGGAACCUGGAGGACCGGGGUUGGGAAACGCUGUGCUGUCGAGGGAACUGGAGGACCGGGGUUGGGAAACGCUGUGCUGUCGAGGGAACUGGAGGACCGGGAUUGGGAAACGCUGUGCUGUCGAGGGAACCGGAGGACCGGGGUUGGGAAAAACUGCCUUACAUCUUACUACUCAUUUUGGACAGGAAAGAAAAUGACAGAAUUCAGAACACUGUUCAUUGA